rnacentral:rRNA from 1 species
GCGACCCCCCCAAGGGCGAGGCCACCCGCUGAGUUUAAGCAUAUC